CCUUCACAUCAAAAGGAUUGUACCACCACUUUAUUGUCUCUUCCUAUUCUCGAGUACACACCCAAGUCUUCCUUGUACUAAAAUGUACGCACACGGAAAUAUACUAUUUGUGUGUAAUUUGAAUAUACUAUUUCAUGUCAAGGACAGCCACGUGUUUGUAACAUAAAAGUACCUUCACAAAACUGGUUUAGUGCACUUAUGUUGGCGAAUGUUGUCUUGAAUACAAAAUCAUAAUAAAAGAGGCGAUGUAUCCGUCUGAUGAAAAAUACCCGGAUAACGCCAACAACAUCGGAUUGAAAACGACAUUCAGACUGUUAAAAAGACAGAACAUCUUAGUUCAUUGUAUAGCUUAAUUGGACAUAAAUAUUAAUAAUGUUCCGAUUUUGUAAUUUCUUUUUCUGGAAUACCGGCAGUUCUUACUUACAUCAACGUAUUGCUUCAGUUAUUUUCAUUUGUCAACUUUAAAUACACACGAAGUCGAGGCUAUCAAAUCACAGAUCAGAACUUUUGUGAACAUUUAAUAACAUCUUACUACACAAUCAGUAUUGUUGUCAUUAUCAUUAUCAUUUUUGUU